AUGCCAUGAUGUGGACACUUAACCAGCACACCUUUGAAUCUCUCCCACGUUUCUUGUAGUGUUUCAGCUAGUUUCUGCCUGGAGCUCAAUAUCUUAUCAACUUGUUU
rfam:Nicotiana sylvestris Nsyl_contig50878, whole genome shotgun sequence.